GGAUGCGUAGCUCAGUUGGUAGAGCAACUGACUCUUAAUCAGUGGGUCCAGGGUUCGAAUCCCUGCGCGUCCACCA
rnacentral:tRNA from 1 species